GACGAACCGUCCGAACGUUAUUCGGAAUCACUGGGCUUAAAGGGUGCGUAGGCGGCGCGGAAAGUUGGGUGUGAAAUCCCUCGGCUCAACCGAGGAACUGCGCCCAAUACUACCGUGCUCGAGGGAGAUAGAGGUGAGCGGAACUUAGGGUGGAGCGGUGAAAUGCGUUGAUAUCCUAAGGAACACCGGUGGCGAAAGCGGCUCACUGGAACGCAACUGACGCUGAGACGCGAAAGCGUGGGGAGCAAACAGG
rnacentral:rRNA from 1 species